GAGGGUAUCACCAGCCCAGAAGUCAGCUCUUCGGUAUUGACAUGAAUAUCAAUUUUAUGGUCAUUUUUAUGAAUUUACUGUUUACAAAACUUGGAAUUUUUCGAAAAACUAAGGAUUUUCUUAUCCCGGGAAUAGAUUACCUUAGCCGUAUUUGGCACAAUUUUUUGGAAUUUUGGGUCCUCAAUGCUCUUCAACUUUGUACUUGUUUGGCUUUAUAACUAUUUUAAUUUGAGCGUCACUGAUGAGUCUUAUGCAGACAAAACGCGCGUCUGGCGUAUUAAAUUAUAAUCCUGAUACUUACAAUUGAGAGGUUAGUCUAGUUAUAAAAUCAUAAUUAAUCCACCAUUUUGUACACAAAGAAAUGCCUGUAUCAAGUCAGGAAUGUGACAGUUAUUUUCAAUU
rnacentral:lncRNA from 1 species